rnacentral:rRNA from 1 species
AACGUAGGACACAAGCGUUAUCCGGAGUUACUGGGCGUAAAGGGCGUGUAGGCGGACCUAUAAGUCUAUUCUGAAAGCUCCUGGCUAAACUGGGAGAGGCGAAUGGAGACUGUAGAUCUAGAGUGAGGAAGAGGAAAGUGGAAUUCCGCGUGUAGUGGUGAAAUGCGUAGAGAUGCGGAGGAACACCAGUGGCGAAAGCGGCUCACUGGACCAUAACUGACGCUGAUGCACGAAAGCUAGGGGAGCAAACAGG